GUUUUGCCAGUGGAUGGGGUCAGUGUGAAGGGCACAGACACCAAGUAAAAGAAGUAAGUUUACUUAUGUUUAAAGCAAGAAUCACAGAAUCACAGAAUUGUAGGGGUUGGAAGGGACCUCUAGAGAUCAUCGAGUCCAACCCCCCUGCCAAAGCAGGCUCGCUACACCAUGUCACACAGGUAGGCGUCCAGGCGGGUCUUAAAUAUCUCCAGAGAAGGAGACUCCACCACCUCCCUGGGCAACCUGUUCCAGUGCUCCGUCACCCUCACUGUAAAGAAGUUCUUCCGCACAUUCGUGCGGAACUUCCUAUGCUGUACUUUCAUCCCAUUACCCCUAGUCCUAUCCCCAUGCACUACUGAAAAGAGACCAGCCUCACCACUAUGGCUCCCACACCUCAGGUAUUUAUAAACCUGGAUCAAGUCCCCUCUCAGCCUUCUUUUCUCAAGGCUAAACAGACCCAGUUCCUUAAGUCUCUCCUCAUAGGGGAGAUGCUCCAGGCCCUUCACCAUCUUAGUGGCCCUCUGCUGGACUCUUUCCAAGAGAUCCCUGUCUUUUUUGUACUGGGGAGCCCAGAACUGGACACAAUAUUCCAGAUGAGGCCUCACCAGGGCAGAGUAGAGGGGGAGGAUCACCUCCUUCGACCUGCUGGACACGCUCUUUUUAAUACACCCCAGUAUGCCAUUGGCUUUUUUGGCUACAAGGGCACACUGCUGGCUCAUGGUCAAUCUGUAGUCGACCAGGAUGCCCAGGUCCCUCUCAGCAGAGCUUCUCUCCAGCAGGUCUUCCCCCAGCCUGUACUAGUGCAUGCAAUUAUUUCUACCCAGGUGCAAGACUUUACACUUGCUUUUGUUAAACCUCAUCCGGUUUCUUACUGCCCAGCUCUCCAGCCUGUCCAAGUCUCGCUGAAUGGCAGCACAGCCUUCAGGCGUGUCAGCCAAUCCUCCCAACUUCGUGUCAUCAGCAAACUUGCUGAGGGUGGUCACUAUCCCCUCAUCAAGGUCGUUGAUGAAGAUGUUGAACAAGACCGGACCCAGUACAGACCCCUGGGGGACGCCGCUAGUUACAGGCCUCCAGCCAGACACCACACCGCCAACGACAACCCUCUGCACUCUGCCAGUCAGCCAAUUCUCGACCCACUUCACCGUCCACUCAUCUAUCCCAUAUUUCCUCAGCUUUGUUAUAAGGAUGUCAUGGGGGACAGUAUCAAAAGCCUUACUGAAAUCAAGGUAGACUACAUCUACCGCCUUCCCCCUGUCCACCCAGCUACUGACAUCUUCAUAAAAGGCCACCAGGUUGGUCGAGCACGACCUCCCCUUGGUGAACCCAUGCUGGGUACUCCUGAUAACCUCCUUAUCACCCAGUUGUCUGGAGAUGGUAUCCAGCACAAGCUUUUCCAUCACCUUCCCUGGGACAGAGGUGAGGCUGACUGGCCUAUAGUUACCCGGGUCUUCCUUCUUGCCCUUUUUGAAGACUGGAGUGACAUUGGCCGUCCUCCAGUCUUCAGGCACCUCCCCAGUUCUCCAAGACCUCUGAAAGAUUACAGAGAGAGGCUCAGCAACGACCUCCGCCAGCUCUCUCAGCACCCGCGGAUGCACCCCAUCAGGUCCCAUGGAUUUAUGGACCUUAAUGUUUCCUAGGCACUCAUGGACCACCUCUUCCCUGACUAAAGGGAAAUCUCCCAUUCCCCGGACUCUCUCAUCAACCUCCAGGGUCUGGGAUAAAGAAAAUAGUAAGUGAAAUGAGACAUCAAGAAUAAAAUAAAGCAAGAUGAAAUGAUACA
ensembl:lncRNA